rnacentral:lncRNA from 13 species
GACAUGAACUCAGUGACCCAGACAACUGAAGCAGAGGGGAUGAAGCUCACUGGGUCCUCAACAGUUUCUACUUUACCACAAUCCAUGCGGGUGCAUCAUAAAGAGGGAAGACUGAUGACCAAGCGGUUCUGGACAAAUCAAGCUUAUCUUUUCCUAGCCUCUGUUCCUGGGGAGGAAAACGUCCUGCAAGAAUCAUCAAGCUACACCACCACAAACAACCCAGUAAAUCAGGAUCUUGUUUGCUAUCCCUGGGAGGGAAUGUUGAAAUUGGAACCAUAGCACUUGGGUAUAUCAGGUUGGAAGAGACAGUUUCACCAGAUGGCUGGUCACCUUGAUUGAGUCAAAUGCCACCGGAAGACCCAGAAUCUCUAAACCAUAGUGAAGAAUUAGCCAAGGGAAGCAAAACCCAACCAAUUCAAGGGGUUCCCCUUUCCAGGGUCGUGGACCGCAAGGUGAGUGUGUGUUUCUAGCAGGUAAAGCUGACAUGUGGCGCCCAGGAGGUCUUCUCUGCUCAACUUGAAGAAAUCCAAUGAGUGCGUCUUGUUUCCUGCUUAUAAUUUCCACUUAAACCACCUCUGCAGUUGACCUCAAGGCCUGCUGUGAUAUCAAUCUCCAAAGCACAAAGGGAAUCAUUUUGCACUUUUUUUCUUCAAGGGACUUACAAGUCAAGGAUCUGAUAAGCACGGUUGAUGAUUAAACCUAAUAAGCUGGCAGCCG